GCAAUCUCCCAACUCAUCUCUGCUCAUCUCUGCCCCAGAAUCCCCACCUCUGAUUGUUUAAGGUCCGGUUCCAUAACUGGAGUUAACCGAAGUUUAACUAGUUUACACCGGAUUUAAACCUGCUGUCAACCUUUAAACUUCGGUUAACUUGAGUUAUGAAACCAGGCCUAAGUCACGUUUAAUUCGGCGUGGUGGCGCCGAGAUUAAACAUACUUUCGCGUCCUCACAUUUAAAUCAAAUAAUGGGCUCUUAUGGUGUUAUGUAUAUACUUACAUGCGUUUAAAUUCAUCGCCGCAGUUAUUUCCUGCUGUUUCCGAACAAACCUCUUAACUCUCGUCUUUGAUAAACACGGAAUUUCAAGGUUGUGGAUGCGUCAUCGAACGUAUAUCGGUAAUAAUUAACAGGAUUGGACAGGAUUGAGAAACCGUAACCGAAUCGGCUCGAAACGUAGGAGUGUUUACAGAUUUUCUAAUAUUACAUUGCUGGGUGGAGGAUAAGAAAAACAUACACACGAACGAUUUCUCCAUACGUGUUUGUUAUAUUUUUUAGUGAUCUGCAGAAAAUGACCAUACUUAUUUAAUCUAUCGUCCUUAAAAAUAUACGAUCACAGUGCUGUGAUCUUAGUCAUAAAUAUUUUUUUAAUUCGGUAUAAGUUCAAAAGAAGCAGUUGUUCCAUGUUUCAGAAAUAUAUGAAAGAGUAGAUAUGAAA